rnacentral:rRNA from 1 species
CCUACGGGUGGCUGCAGUGGGGGAUAUUGCACAAUGGGGGGAACCCUGAUGCAGCGACGCCGCGUGGGUGAAGAAGCGCUUCGGCGCGUAAAGCCCUGUCAGCAGGGAAGAAAAUGACGGUACCUGAACAAGAAGCCCCGGCUAACUACGUGCCAGCAGCCGCGGUAAUACGUAGGGGGCAAGCGUUAUACGGAUGUACUGGGUGUAAAGGGGGCGCAGACGGCGGGGCAAGCCAGGUGUGAAAGCCCGGGGCUCAACCCCGGGACUGCUCUUGAAACUGCGAGGCUGGAGUGCAGGAGAGGCAGGGGGAAUUCCAGGUGGAGCGGUGAAAUGCGGAGAUAUCAGGAGGAACACCGGUGGCGAAGGCGGCCUGCUGGACUGUAACUGACGUUGAGGCCCGAAAGCGUGGGGAGCAAACAGGAUUAGAUACCCUAGUAGUC